GACGAGCGCUGGCGGCGUGCUUAACACAUGCAAGUCGAACGGAAAGGCCCUGCUUUUGUGGGGUGCUCGAGUGGCGAACGGGUGAGUAACACGUGAGUAACCUGCCCUUGACUUUGGGAUAACUUCAGGAAACUGGGGCUAAUACCGGAUAGGAGCUCCUGCUGCAUGGUGGGGGUUGGAAAGUUUCGGCGGUUGGGGAUGGACUCGCGGCUUAUCAGCUUGUUGGUGGGGUAGUGGCUUACCAAGGCUUUGACGGGUAGCCGGCCUGAGAGGGUGACCGGCCACAUUGGGACUGAGAUACGGCCCAGACUCCUACGGGAGGCAGCAGUGGGGAAUAUUGCACAAUGGGCGGAAGCCUGAUGCAGCAACGCCGCGUGCGGGAUGACGACCUUCGGGUUGUAAACCGCUUUCGCCUGUGACGAAGCGUGAGUGACGGUAAUGGGUAAAGAAGCACCGGCUAACUACGUG
rnacentral:rRNA from 1 species